rnacentral:rRNA from 1 species
CUAGUUGGCGGGGUAAUGGCCCACCAAGGCUACGAUGGGUAGCUGGUCUGAGAGGAUGAUCAGCCACACUGGGACUGAGACACGGCCCAGACUCCUACGGGAGGCAGCAGUGGGGAAUCUUGCGCAAUGGGCGAAAGCCUGACGCAGCAACGCCGCGUGCGGGAGGAGGGCCUUCGGGUUGUAAACCGCUUUCAGGGGAGACGAAGCUUCCAGGGUGAAUAGCCCUGUGGAGUGACGGUAUCUUCAGAAGAAGUCCCGGCUAACUACGUGCCAGCAGCCGCGGUGAUACGUAGGGGACAAGCGUUGUCCGGAAUUAUUGGGCGUAAAGCGCGUGUAGGCGGCCAAGUAAGUCUUACGUGAAAUCCUGAGGCUCAACCUCAGGCCUGCGCGGGAUACUGCUUGGCUAGAGUCCGGAAGAGGAGAGUGGAAUUCCUGGUGUAGCGGUGGAAUGCGCAGAUAUCAGGAGGAACAUCCGUGGCGAAGGCGGCUCUCUGGGACGGUACUGACGCUGAGACGCGAAAGCGUGGGGAGCGAACAGGAUUAGAUACCCUGGUAGUCCACGCCGUAAACGAUGGGCGCUAGGUGUGGGAGGUGUCGAUUCCUUCCGUGCCGAAGCUAACGCAUUAAGCGCCCCGCCUGGGGAGUACGGUCGCAAGACUAAAACUCAAAGGAAUUGACG